UACAGAGGUCUCAAGCGUUGUUCGGAUUCAUUGGGCGUAAAGGGUGCGUAGGCGGCGCGGUAAGUCGGGUGUGAAAUUUCGGAGCUUAACUCCGAAACUGCAUUCGAUACUGGCGUGCUUGAGGACUGGAGAGGAGACUGGAAUUUACGGUGUAGCAGUGAAAUGCGUAGAUAUCGUAAGGAAGACCAGUGGCGAAGGCGGGUCUCUGGACAGUUCCUGACACUGAGACACGAAGGCCAGGGGAGCAAACGGG
rnacentral:rRNA from 1 species